AUAUUGGACAAUGGGGGAAACCCUGAUCCAGCGAUGCCGCGUGAGGGAAGAAGGUUUUCGGAUUGCAAACCUCUGUGGAGGGGGACGAUAAUGACGGUACCCCUUUAGGAAGCCACGGCUAACUACGUGCCAGCAGCCGCGGUAAUACGUAGGUGGCGAGCGUUGUCCGGAAUUACUGGGUGUAAAGGGAGUGUAGGCGGGAAAGCAAGUCAGAAGUGAAAACUAUGGGCUUAACCCAUAGCCUGCUUUUGAAACUGUUUUUCUUGAGUGAAGUAGAGGUAAGCGGAAUUCCUAGUGUAGCGGUGAAAUGCGUAGAUAUUAGGAGGAACACCAGUGGCGAAGGCGGCUUACUGGACUGUAACUGACGUUGAGGCUCGAAAGCGUGGGGAGCAAACAGG
rnacentral:rRNA from 1 species